rnacentral:rRNA from 1 species
UUCCAGACUCCUACGGGAGGCAGCAGUGAGGAAUAUUGGUCAAUGGGCGCAAGCCUGAACCAGCCAAGUCGCGUGAGGGAUGACGGUCCUAUGGAUUGUAAACCUCUUUAGGCGGGGAGCAAUGCCGGGCACGUGUGCCCGGAGGGAGAGUACCCGCAGAAUAAGCAUCGGCUAACUCCGUGCCAGCAGCCGCGGUAAUACGGAGGAUGCGAGCGUUAUCCGGAUUUAUUGGGUUUAAAGGGUGCGUAGGCGGAUUUUUAAGUCAGCGGUAAAAUGUCCGGGCUCAACCCGGGCCGGCCGUUGAAACUGGGGAUCUUGAGUGGGCGAGAAGUAUGCGGAAUGCGUGGUGUAGCGGUGAAAUGCAUAGAUAUCACGCAGAACUCCGAUUGCGAAGGCAGCAUACCGGCGCCCGACUGACGCUGAGGCACGAAAGCGUGGGGAUCGAACAGGAUUAGAUACCCUAGUA